GUCAGAAAAUUGUGAAGUAAGCAGCAGAGUAACUGAGAGCAGGGAGGGAGAAGACGCUGCCAUUCUUUUAGUGCAGUGGGCUGAGGCAAAAAGGGCAUUGUAAUGGUAAAUCGCAUGCAGAAAGGAAGAAAAGACUGAUAAUCAAUCACAAAUGAAGCAUUCCUUUGGAUUUUGGCAAUUUGCUGCCCAGGGACUUUUAAAUCCAUACAGUUUUUUGGGGAGGUCUUUCUUUUUUUUACAACUUUGAUAUCCGAUAGGGAGGAAGAGAACUCUUUACAAACCCAUCAUGCUCAGGAUACCUGGCAGCAGGGAAAGCAGAGUGCUGAAAACACCAGUAAAACAUCACGGUUCUGGAGGAGAACCAGCGUGCUGAGAUGAUGAUGGGAAAUGUUUUUAACCCAUCGCAUUGGGCUCAGCUCUGAAGACAGGAAAAUUCUCUUUCAGACUCUUCCUUUCUCACGUGUUGAGGGAUGACUCGUGGUGGGCUUUUAAGGACUCGAAUUUCCAGCUGCUGCGCUCUGUGAUUGCUUGAGUGGUUUUUGUGUUUGACUGAGUAUGUGAUAGGACAGCUGAGGAUGUUAGACAAUAUUAACACCAGCAUACCGUCUCCAGAGGCCAGCAUUAGCCACCGAGGAAGAUACAUCUACCUGGAGGCACUGCUUCAAGGAGGUGCUCCAUGGGGAUUCACCCUGAAAGGCGGACUGGAGCACGGGGAGCCAUUAAUCAUCUCAAAGAUUAUGGGACAGAGAGAGAAUCCGUUUGAAUGCAGUAGUUCUUUCUAACCAUCAGGAGAUGGUGCUUAUUUGGGAUGCAAAUUUCGGACACAUCUUCAGAGCAAAGACUGUAUUAGAGGUUAAAAAGCACAAUGAGUGGAUUUGUGAGAGGCCCAAAUGCAUGAAAACUGAUUCCUGUGCAGUUCUUUGAGAAGGCAGAUUUGAAAUAUACCAGAAAGUUCCCCCAAAGCAAUGGGAGCAACAGAUGGAAAUGUUGUUACAAA